UACGGAGGGUGCAAGCGUUGUUCGGAAUUAUUGGGCGUAAAGAGCGUGUAGGCGGCCUUGUAAGUCAGAUGUGAAAUACCUUGGCUCAACCAAGGAAGGGCAUUUGAAUCUGCUUGGCUUGAGUACGGGAGGGGGAAGUGGAACUCCCGGUGUAGAGGUGAAAUUCGUAGAUAUCGGGAGGAACACCGGUGGCGAAGGCGGCUUCCUGGACCGAUACUGACGCUGAGACGCGAAAGCGUGGGGAGCAAACAGG
rnacentral:rRNA from 1 species